rnacentral:tRNA from 1 species
UUUUAUAUAGUUUAAAAAAAACAUUAUAUUUUCAAUAUAAAAAUAAAUAAAAAAUUUUAUAAAUA